rnacentral:rRNA from 1 species
CCUACGGGAGGCAGCAGUGAGGAAUAUUGGUCAAUGGGCGCGAGCCUGAACCAGCCAAGUAGCGUGAAGGAUGACUGCCCUACGGGUUGAAAACUUCUUUUAUCAAGGAAUAAAGUGAGGCACGUGUGCCUUUUUGUAUGUACUUUAUGAAUAAGGAUCGGCUAACUCCGUGCCAGCAGCCGCGGUAAUACGGAGGAUCCGAGCGUUAUCCGGAUUUAUUGGUUUUAAAUGUAGCGUAGAUGGGUUGUUAAGUCAGUUGUGACAGUUUGCGGCUCAACCGUAAAAUUGCAAUUGAUACUGGCAGUCUUGAGUACAGUUGAGGUAGGCGGAAUUCGUGGUGUAGCGGUGAAAUGCUUAGAUAUCACGAAGAACUCCGAUUGCGAAGGCAGCUUACUAAACUGCCACUGACAUUGAUGCUCGAAAGUGUGGGUAUCAAACAGGAUUAGAUACCCUGGUAGUC